rnacentral:lncRNA from 1 species
GAAGGGUUUUAAAACACUCAUUCUGUUGUAUCCCAAAGGAAAAUCUGAAUCCUUAAAAAAACUAGAAAGUUAAUUGUACUAUCUUGUAUAAAGCAUCAAAUUGAUGGAGUACAGGACAGAUUUGACCACACCUUUUUACAACAUAUCUAAACCUUCCUGUGUUACAAUUUAUUAUUUUAAAGUAUUGCUGGACAGAGAUUAUUCAUAUUACAUUAUCAGCCUUUGUUUCUCUGCACUAAUAUAUUUUGGUAAAACUAUUCACCCAGAAUUAAAAUAGUGUCAAAUGAAGCCGUAGAUGAAAAAGGAAUAGAUUGUAUGAUUCCCUAGUAACUGUGUGAACAGAACUGAUCAGGUAACACAGCUCUGGUGUUAAUUUCCUUACCAUAAAAGGAAAGAUGCUGACCUCAAAUUUAACCUCUGAAAGAGACCUGUUCACAAGCUUUUACACAAGAGAGAAAAUCAGCUUUCCUCACAAAUAGUAAAGCACAUAGUGAGUGUACAUCCAUCGAAGUAGUACAUCGAUAAUUUAGUUUGGACACUA